UCCCAGACUCCUACGGGAGGCAGCAGUGAGGAAUAUUGGUCAAUGGCCGUAAGGCUGAACCAGCCAAGUAGCGUGAGGGAAGACUGCCCUAUGGGUUGUAAACCUCUUUUAUGCGGGGAUAAAGGUGUCCACGUGUGGAUGUUUGCAGGUACCGCAUGGAUAAGGACCGGCUAAUUCCGUGCCAGCAGCCGCGGUAAUACGGAAGGUCCGGGCGUUAUCCGGAUUUAUUGGGUUUAAAGGGAGCGUAGGCGGGUUGUUAAGUCAGUUGUGAAAGUUUGCGGCUCAACCGUAAAAUUGCAGUUGAUACUGGCAUCCUUGAGUACAGUAGAGGUAGGCGGAAUUCGUGGUGUAGCGGUGAAAUGCUUAGAUAUCACGAAGAACUCCGAUUGCGAAGGCAGCCUGCUGGACUGUAACUGACGCUGAUGCUCGAAAGUGUGGGUAUCAAACAGGAUUAGAUACCCUAGUACCG
rnacentral:rRNA from 1 species